AAACCCUAGCCCUAGGUUCUUUGCCGCCGACGUCCCCAGACUCAGCGCUUUCGCUUCUUCCUCUUUCCUCUGUCUGGAAUCCAGGUAGCUCGGCACGUCGUUCCAAUCCUCGCUGGCUUUUCUGUCCGUGGCCAGGGAAAAAGGAGGAAUCGAAGUCCAAUCGCAAGUUAGAUAAAAAGGUUCAAUUUUACUCUAAGGUGAAAGAUGUUGUGACUUGCUUGAAUGCUCAAAAGCCUAUUACUAAAGUAAUGAUCUUAUUUCAAAUGGCAUUGUUAUUAAGAUGGAUUAUGGAAAUACUUCAUUGUGCUUGUAACAGGUUUAAGGGCUAGUUAAAUGUACUUUGCACUGUUAUUAUGUUCAUAGAUACUUUGAAUAUUUUUAGGGUUCUUUAUUGUGUAUUGCAUUUGUUAUUGUUUUAGGAA